rnacentral:misc_RNA from 1 species
GAUGAAGAACGUAGCGAAAUGCGAUAAGUAAUGUGAAUUGCAGAAUUCAGUGAAUCAUCGAAUCUUUGAACGCACCUUGCGCCCUUUGGCUAUUCUGAAGGGCAUGCCUGUUUGAGUAUCGUGAACACCUCAACUCUCAUGGUCUGCCAUGAUGAGCUUGGACUUUGGGGGUCUUGCUGGCCUACUGUCAGCUCCUCUCAAAUGAAUCAGCUUACCAGUGUUUGGUGGCACCACAGGUGUGAUAACUAUCUACGCUUGUGGUUUUCUGCCAGGUAACCUCCAGUGAUGGAGGUUCGCUGGAGCUCACAAAUGUCUCUCCUCAGCGAGGACAGCUUUUUGAACGUUUGAUCUCAAAUCAGGUAGGACUACCCGCUGAACUUAAGCAUAUCAAUAAGCGGAGA